AUGAAAAUUUUUCAAGGCAAGUUUUCAAGUUACUGAACUUACCGGCCAUUCGAAUUCAGAGAGGUUUUCUUCUUCACCUUCCUUCGUCUCUCGCCGUCACCGCCACUCACCAUUUCCGUCUCGUGAGCUCACCGUCGCAGCUCAGAAUCGUCGUCUCGCGCGCUCACCGUCGCUGCUCCCAAUCGUCGCAAGCCUCCUUGGCUCAUCAUCGUAGCUCACAUCGUCGUCUCGUCGCUCACCAUCGUGCACUCACUAGAUAAUCAUUCUCUGAUUCACUCUCUAUCUUCUCUUUCUUGCUCAUUACCUCACUUCUUCUCUCGUUUCAGUGUCGAAGAAGGUGCGUGUGGCUAUGAUGAUGAUGAUGAACAACAAUGGCCAAACGAGACAGAGAUGGUAGCUGAAGUGAGACAGAGAAUUUCUAACAUGGCAGGGGUUAGAAAGAGGAAGUUUGAAUUGUGGCAUCUUCCUAUCGAAUUUGUCCUUUAGGGGCUCAUAUUGAUCACCAGGUACUUAAGUAUAUGUCUUUCUAUUAUGACAGUACAAUUUUAACUCAAUGAUUGAUCUUGAACACAAGUUUUAUCAGAAACGUGAUUAAGCAAUGCAUACCAGAGCUGUUUACUUAUUCAAUUUCUUGGCAGCUUUCUCAUGUAAUUUCCCCUGAAAUUCGAAUGAGUUCUAUUCCACUGUUUGAUAAAUGGUCCUUGGGAUUUUAUCUUGUAUGUGUUACUUUUUCAGGAGAUUUUGAAGAGCAAGUUCGGUUCAGGUUUAUCAGUGAUCAUAAAGUCUUGUUGUUUUCUCCUAAGUAUUUUGUUGAAGUUUUCACCCCAUCACUUGUAAAAUUAUCCUGUCAGCUGCAUUCACUUGGAUGUGUGCCACUUCUGUGGAAACAAUUAGUCUUACAACUUGGGCCUAGUGUCAAUUGUGAUACUAACUAGCUCGUUGGCAUUUCAACUGUCAGUUAUGAUCUUGUGUUAUUCUCAUUUUCAUUGUUGUAUCUUUUCUUACCUUCUCUUCCACUUUAUAUUAAAAUCCUUGUUUGGCUAGGGAUUUCUAUGUAUAUCCUUGCUGCCUACUCCAAUUAUGCAUUUUUUUUUAUUAAUAAUAUGCUGAGUUACUUAUCCAAAAGUGGGGAAAAAAUAAUUUUCUGCAGACUGAACAGAAGCAAUGAGGCUUGGUAUCAAUGGACCUUGGAUCACCAAAUCAUAUCUUGAAAUGAUCCUUGAUAAAAAAAAGGCUGGAUUUGCAUGCACUUUGACUUUGUCUUUUUUGCACUCUAUGACUUCUCAAUUAAUUGAGUUAUUUUUUAUUGUUUGAUAUUAUUUCUUGUUAUAUAUGCUGAUGACUGCUUCAAUAGGAUAAUUGUUUUGAGGAUGAUGAGCCAAUUGGCUAAGCAUAACUUAACAAAAGUAGAUUAUAUUAAUUAUCAAGAUAAGAAGAAGCUCAAUUUCCUUGAUGAUCUGACUCAUGCUAAACCUGAUAUUGUUUUCUUUUUACCACUUACAGGUGUUCCUCAUCAUAAGAAGGAGCGUGGUUGUUUUUGAUAAAUUCCUACAAAACAUGUGCAUGCUUACACAAGGAUUAACAGCUUCAAUUUUUCUAAAAAAAAAUUUACUAAUAAAAAAUUAUCUCAUUGCUUCAGAAUUGUGAAACUCUAUCUCAUGUAUCAAUAAAUGCCUUCCUCAAUGCUGAUUGGUCAUUGAGAAGACCAGAAGAAAUACAUUUGUGCUUGGAAGUCAAGGCACUGCAAUCAUUGCACCAAAACCAAUUCGCGCGACUCUUGACCUUGUUACCGGAUUGGAGGAUUUGUCUCAGCCAUGGACUCGGUCCCUCAACUGAUCGAAUGGCUAUUUGCUCGCAAAACCUCUGUUAAAUUGUCUUUGUAAAGUUCUAGUCCAAACACAGUAGGGGGAAGGAGAGUUAGCUAGAAGAGCUUGUUUGUAA